rnacentral:rRNA from 1 species
UACGUAGGGACCAAGCGUUGUUCGGAUUUACUGGGCGUAAAGGGCGCGUAGGCGGCUUAACAAGUCACUUGUGAAAUCUCCGGGCUUAACUCGGAACGGCCAAGUGAAACUGUCAAGCUAGAGUGCAGAAGGGGCAAUCGGAAUUCUUGGUGUAGCGGUGAAAUGCGUAGGAUAUCAAGAGGAACACCUGAGGUGAAGACGGGUUGCUGGGCUGACACUGACGCUGAGACGCGAAAGCGUGGGAGCAAACAGG